AGGAUUAUAGUUAAUUAUAACAUUUGAUUUGCAUUCAAAAAGUACUAAAUUCCUUUUAGUUAAUCUUA
rnacentral:tRNA from 1 species